rnacentral:rRNA from 1 species
CCUACGGGUGGCAGCAGUGAGGAAUAUUGCUCAAUGGGCGCGAGCCUGAACCAGCCACGUAGCGUGAAGGAUGACUGCCCUACGGGUUGUAAACUUCUUUUAUAAAGGAAUAAAGUGAGGCUCGUGUGCCUUUUUGUAUGUACUUUAUGCAUUAGGAUAGGCUAACUCCGUGCCAGCAGCCGCGGUAAUACGGAGGAUCCGAGGGUUAUCCGGAUUUAUUGGGUUUAAAGGGAGCGUAGAUGGGUUGUUAAGUCAGUUGUGAAAGUUUGCGGCUCAACCGUAAAAUUGCAAUUGAUACUGGCAAUCUUGAGUACAGUUGAGGUAGGCGGAAUUCGUGGUGUAGCGGUGAAAUGCGUAGAUAUCACGAAGAACACCGAUGGCGAAGGCAGCUUACUAAACCGACACUGACGUUGAUGCUCGAAAGUGUGGGUAGCAAACAGGAUUAGAUACCCGUGUAGUC